UUGUAACCGGUAUGAGGUACUCUUGAACAAUUUAUCUUCAUCGAUCUCAGCAUGUCGCCAGCAAUCUGCAGGAAGUUGAUGAUGAACUGAUAAUCGGAAAGGGAGUAUUUGCAAAGGAUGGCUUCUGUGUCACAUGUUAAUAAUUUGGUCUACAAUGAAGAUGCAACAACAGGAGGAAUGUGUAUAUAUAUAGAUGUUUGCUGCUAUAAUUACAUUUCUGAUAUGUGA
rnacentral:lncRNA from 1 species